GCCUUCGUGGUGUAAUGGUCAGCACACUGAGCCGGUAUUUCAGAGAGCCGUGGUUCGAUUCCCGGCGAAGGCG
rnacentral:tRNA from 1 species